rnacentral:rRNA from 1 species
GAGCGUUGUUCGGAGUUACUGGGCGUAAAGCGUGCGUAGGCGGUGGUCCAAGUCUGGUGUGAAAUCUCCCGGCUUAACUGGGAGGGUGCGCCGGAAACUGGGCCGCUGGAGUACGGGAGAGGCAAGCGGAAUUCCAGGUGUAGCGGUGAAAUGCGUAGAUAUCUGGAGGAACACCCGUGGUGCAGACGGCUUGCUGGACCGUGACUGACGCUGAGGCACGAAAGCGUGGGUAGCAAACAGG